AAGCAGAUCUUCUAGAGGAAAGGACUGUGGCCAGAGAAGAGCUGUUGGGAUUAGACAGGAUGUGGACAUCAUAUUGGUUGAAGAGCAACUGAAUAUGUUACACAGACGAAGUGAAGGCUUCAGAGGGCUAAAUGCUUCAUCCACAAGAAGAGGAAGAACCAGGCCAGGGAGUGGAGGGUACAUGCAGAUAGAUUUCAGCUCAGUGGAAUGGAUCUGAGUGUUUCAACGAGUGUUCCAAUAGUAUCCCUCAGAGGAGUAAGCUGCCAAAUGUUGGCAGCGCUCAAGCGGAAGCAGAAGGAACACCUGUCAGGGCAUAAAGAUUGCUGCACUCAUUUUAAGGGUCUCAUUAUACCAUUUCGAUGGUUCAUUCUGAACCUUCUCCAGUUCCACUGGAUUUUGGAGACAUGGCAAUCAAAUGUAUGGAUGACACAGAUUUUUGUGUGUAUUAUAAAGAAACUGCAGUAACCUUCCUGAUAGUUCCCAGAAUUUACCUGGUCUCUUUGAUUGCUUAGAAUUACACAGAUUAAGAAACCUA